rnacentral:rRNA from 1 species
AUUGAACGCUGGCGGCAGGCCUAACACAUGCAAGUCGAGCGGAUGAAGGGAGCUUGCUCCUGGAUUCAGCGGCGGACGGGUGAGUAAUGCCUAGGAAUCUGCCUGGUAGUGGGGAUAACGUCCGGAAACGGGCGCUAAUACCGCAUACGUCCUGAGGGAGAAAGUGGGGGAUCUUCGGACCUCACGCUAUCAGAUGAGCCUAGGUCGGAUUAGCUAGUUGGUGGGGUAAAGGCCUACCAAGGCGACGAUCCGUAACCGGUCUGAGAGGAUGAUCAGUCACACUGGAACUGAGACACGGUCCAGACUCCUACGGGAGGCAGCAGCGGGGAAUAUUGGACAAUGGGCGAAAGCCUGAUCCAGCCAUGCCGCGUGUGUGAAGAAGGUCUUCGGAUUGUAAAGCACUUUAAGUUGGGAGGAAGGGCAGUAAGUUAAUACCUUGCUGUUUUGACGUUACCAACAGAAUAAGCACCGGCUAACUUCGUG